AGACGUCUACAUUAGAUACCCCGGUAGUCCCAGCCCUAAACGAUGCGCGUUAGGUGUAUCGGUGACCACGAGUCACCGAGGUGCCGAAGGGAAACCGUGAAACGUGCCGCCUGGGAAGUACGGUCGCAAGGCUGAAACUUAAAGGAAUUGGCGGGGGAGCACAACAACGGGUGGAGCUUGCGGUUUAAUUGGAUUCAACGCCGGAAAUCUUACCGGGACCGACAGCAACAUGAAGGCCAAGCUGAAGACUUUGCCGGAUUAGCUG
rnacentral:rRNA from 1 species